rnacentral:rRNA from 1 species
AUAAUACUCCAUAGAUUAGAGAUACUGGAAUGUUCUUUAGUCAAAAGUUCCGGCGCCUUAGGAUGGAUCUGCGGUCGAUUAGGUUGUUGUUGGGGUAACGGCCCAACAAGCCUGUAAUCGAUACGGGUUGUGGGAGCAAGAGCCCGGAGAUGGAAUCUGAGACACGAUUCCAGGCCCUACGGGGCGCAGCAGGCGCGAAAACUUUACAAUGCAGGAAACUGUGAUAAGGGAACUCCGAGUGCCCGUAUACGCGGGCUGUCCAGGUGUUUAAAAAUCAUCUGAAGAAAGGGCCGGGCAAGACCGGUGCCAGCCGCCGCGGUAAUACCGGCGGCUCGAGUGGUGGCCACUAUUAUUGGGCUUAAAGCGUCCGUAGCUGGACCGAUAAGUCUCUUGGGAAAUCCGCCGGCUCAACCGGCGGGCGUCUAAGGGAUACUGUUAGUCUAGGGACCGGGAGAGGUGAGAGGUACUCCGGGGGUAGGAGUGAAAUCCUGUAAUCCCCGGGGGACCACCGAUGGCGAAGGCAUCUCACCAGAACGGCUCCGACAGUGAGGGACGAAAGCUGGGGGAGCGAACCGGAUUAGAUACCCGGGUAGUCCCAGCCGUAAACUAUGCGCGUUAGGUGU